UACGUAGGGUGCAAGCGUUGUCCGGAAUUAUUGGGCGUAAAGAGCUCGUAGGUGGUUCGGUAAGUCGGAUGUGAAAUCUCCAGGCUCAACCUGGAGGGGUCAUUCGAUACUGCCGUGACUAGAGGUCGGUAGGGGAGUGUGGAAUUCCUGGUGGAGCGGUGAAAUGCGCAGAUAUCAGGAGGAACACCGGUGGCGAAGGCGGGUCUCUGGGCAGUAACUGACGCUGAGGAGCGAAAGCGUGGGGAGCGAACAGGAUUAGACUACCCGUGGU
rnacentral:rRNA from 1 species